rnacentral:lncRNA from 1 species
AGUUAUUCUUAUAAAAGAGCUCAUGAAAGUACUCUUUUUGUAAAUGUAAUGCUGGUGUAAAUUUUCUUUUAGUUAAGCAGAAACCAACUCAUCUUUUUUAAGUUGAUAAGGAUUAACUUUCCUCUUGUGUUUCCCUGUUUGCAGGGACUUCUGGAAAGUUCAGGCUAAGUUUCUUGCUAAAUCACAUCAAUGAAAUCAACCUCAAUGAUGGUUAACUAUAAAGUGAAGGGGUGGUUGCAUUGAUCUUCUUCCCUUAGAAAAUUGCUACAUGAUUCCCAGUCACAUCAGAUACUGUUAUAGAACUAACAAAUGCCUCCACGAGAUAUUCAUCAAAUCUUUUGUUGCCCAUUAAUCCUCUCAGCCAUUAUGUGCUUUUGGGUGGAGAAGAAGAAGGAAAUUAAAGAUCUGGAUUCCUUGCUAUCCUGGAGAGGUUUUGGCAAUAAAAUGGUACCUGAAGUCA